rnacentral:lncRNA from 1 species
UCCGAAGCCGCUGAGUCUAUAGAUGAUGGAUUCAUGGUCUCUGCAGGUUCAUUCAUAGGGUUUAAGGCCACAGUUGGUGUAGAAGUAGAACCACGCUUCUUCAUAUUAGAACUCUGAAUUGGUGGGGAUUAUAUACACAAGAGCAAGAUUAUAUAUAUGAACAAAAAUAUAUAGAUUCUAUUGUCAAACAAUGCAAGGUAAUUAAAAAAGUUACGAACCAGAGAGAACAGGGAAGGGUUUUACUGGAUACUAAAUCUCAAUUUUUUGUAUCUGGCACAAGAAAGGAAAU